rnacentral:rRNA from 1 species
AUGAUGGAGGAUGUGCUUGGUCAGAUGACACUCAUGAACACCUCCGCCGCUGUCUGGGCGGCCCUCCAUGACAUGUUCUCCUCGCAGAACAAGGCGCAUCUCAUGCAGAUGCGUUUUCAGCUGUCGAACCUGAAGAAGAAGGACCUCACCGCUAUUGAAUACUUCAACAAGAUGAAGGGCUUUGCUGAUGCUAUUGCAUCCAUUGGCACACCUCUUGGCGAUGACGAGAUCCUCGGCUACAUGCUGGCCGGUCUUGGGUCUGAAUUUGAACCUCUAGUGGCCUCCAUCACCGCUCGCGAGGAGCCGAUCAGCCUUGGCAGCUUAUACGCGUUCCUCGCUAACGCCGAGCUUCGCAUGGAGCAGCAGGCAUCCGUGGGCGAGCUCCACUCCUCCGCCAACUCUGCAGCACGCAACUCUGAUGGCUGA